CAGAGUUGAAACGCGCGACUAGACCAGCAAUUGAAAUAAAAGUCACCCUCGCAAGCAAGACAGAAGCCAUGUUGUUGCUGUUCUUUGAUUUCCUUCGAGUGUUCCGGGCAGCGCUUGACGUAGCGGCACACCAAACUUGGGACGAGCUGACACGCUGGAAGAAAGGCGGACACCCCGAGACAGUGAUGCUCCAACAUGUGAGAUGAUCGCGGGCGAGGCCGCUGCCGACGAGGCUGACCACAUCAACAUCGACAUCAUGCUGGUCCGUAGCUCGCAAACGCGUGGCCGAGCAAGGGUAACGCACGCCGUCAUCGUCAUCUUCCUGGAGUUCUUCGCCUGGGGUCUGCUGACG